rnacentral:lncRNA from 1 species
CCAACGCAAAAAUGUCUCAGACCUCCAAGCAAGCGCAGCUUUGGUCUCCGCCAUAUUCUAAUGAGCUAAACUGUGGGGCUAGAGCAGGAUUGACGCCCCCAAGGUUGGGGGAGGCUUCACUGGUUCUCACCUCUGCAGAGUGCAUUAAACCCAGGAGGAGUUGUGGAAAAGGAAGGGUCUAACGCCUUUGUAUCCUCAAAAGGAUACAAAAAUGAAAAUGGGGCUCAUUCGAUACCUCGAUUUAUCAGUCAUUGCAGGUCAGUGUUUUGGCCAGAAUGGAACAGCCAAGAACAGAGACUCCACACCAGGAUCUUUGUCCAGUAGAAUGGGGAGGCGGGGCGUACACUUGAGGAAAAGAUUUGGGAGGAGUAGGGCAGGGCAGCCUUGAGACCAGUGCCUGGCCUCAUUUCAGUUUUACCUGCAGUGACACUCCCUCAGUCCCUUGAAUUAGGUCUUUGCAUCUCACUUCAAAAUUACACCAAAUUUCAGACUGACCCUGGGGCGUGACCCCUUUUAUCGCUUGCAAACAGCUGCGUUUUGAUGGUGCUAGAGGGAAUGCUGGCGUCUGAAAUAGUAUAAACGUGUUGCUUAGGGAAUGUGGGGCUGUUUUUACCCUUCUGAAUUAAAAAAAGAAAAAGAAGAGACUCUUUCAUCAAGGAAAACUUUGUUUUUCUAAACUCCAACGACCAAACAGGUUACAAUGGGGUCUUUGUAAGUGAAACCUCAAACCUCAGCUGGGCUUAUGCGCCCCCGCCGGGUCCUCCCUCGCGCAGGAGGCGGGAGGCGCUGGAGCCUUUGGGAAACUGCUGAAAUGCUGAUGGAAGCCAGGGCCGCCAAGUUCCGUCCCGGAGCCGCCAGCACCGCUAGCUGGACUCGGGAGAUUUCCAUGUCAUCCCACCUGCCAAAUGGAUUCUAGAGCUCCUAAACCUAGAAUGGGAAAUUACAUAAUUUUUUUCACUGUUUUGGAAUCAUCCACAGUUGAGAUCACUGGACAGAAGAUCAAAAUUGGAGAGACAAUGAAGAAUGAAGUCUUUCCUUCCUACCCACAGAGGAAGGGAAAGUUUAACAAAAGGAAGUUUUGGCUAACCAGAAAACCUAUAUCUUUUGUUUCAAUAGUUCAUUAAAGUUACUUAUUGCAAAUGUGAGGUAAUUCAUUAAACUGUUUUCUCAAAUAUGUAAUUCUCUCUGGAUAAACUGGUACACCUGUUUAAAUAUGCAAG